rnacentral:rRNA from 1 species
CCUUCUCACGGAGGCGCGUGUCGCACAUACGGUAUACGCACUGGUCUCAGAUAGCAACGAACGUGACCGUAUUCUAUUGUUGCAGUGAAUUAUACGUGUGCUUUACAGCAUACAUUCCCACUGCUUAGUGUGCGCUGCCAGUACUUGUUGCUGCUGCGUCACACAUUAAACUAUAGAGACCGCUGUUUCUUCUUUAAACCAGAGGAAGGAUACGGCAAUAACAGGUCUGUGAUGCCUUCAGAUGUUCCGGGCUGCACACGUGCUACAAUGAUCAUUGCACUGUGCAUCUAACCCAAUGUGCGCGGACGCCACGAUACGUAAUUGCCUUCGGGCAUUUUAUAUAUUCGCUUGUGCGACUGCGCCGAACCUACUUCGAAAGUAAAAUUUUUAAGUGGGUAAUCCAUUAGAAGUAAUGACUCGCAUAGACCAUGGCACACUAUAUGUACGCGCAGGUCUACCCGGCUCGCCUUUGUGUGAGUGCAGUGCGUAGCUUGUUGUUUCGUACGUGCCACUCCGUAUUAAUUCGUACGUGGGGAUAGAUCAUUGUUUAAUUGUUGGUCUCGGUCUUAACUAGGAAUGCCUUGUACGGGUCUUUGGUUCAACAUACCACCCGGAAUACGUCCCUGCCCUUUGUACACACCGCCCGUCGCUCUUACCGAUGGAUUAUACUAUGAAUCUAUAGGACUGCCAAAGCUUUGCGGCGUGUUCGCACACCGCGCUUAGUGGAAAUAUAUAUGAAUAGUGGAUCUAA